CCGAGGACAGACACACAGACGGGCAGAGAGACAGACGGGCAGAGAGACAGAAGGGCAGAGAGACGGGCAGAGAGACGGUCUACCUGGACGUCAUGGAUCACCUGUUGAUGCUGCUGCUGUUGCUGUGGAGCUCAGGACUCCAGGCUGAAGGAAAUCACACAUCAACAGAACCUUUCAGGUUGGUGGGAGGAGUCAGUCGCUGUGCAGGAACACUGGAGAUGAAACAUCAAGGAGACUGGAGACCAGUAGAUGGC